rnacentral:tRNA from 1 species
GUCUUUGUAGUAUAUCACAUUACCCUGGUCUUGUAAAC